rnacentral:rRNA from 14 species
GCCUGUCAGAGAGGGGGCAGUCGGCCCGGCCGGUGAAGAAGCGUGGCGGGUUCUUCUGGGUCAGGGUGCAGGUCGCCUCCUGGCCGAUGGAGUUGUAGAGGUGCUUACAGUUGUCUUUUGUCCUGUCAGCAACCUCAGCGCACGCCAGAUUGUUGUCCAGCUCUCCGUACUCGGCGGCAACCAUGGUGGCGAAAGCCCAAAGGUCUGCGCGGCUCUUACCGCUGGCCCUCAGCGAGAUGUCCAGUUGCGGUGCGCCAUCGGGGAAGUCGACCUCGUUGUAGAGCUCCUCUAGGUAGUCUGCAGCGAGCUGCAGGCCGUUGUUUCCGCCUCCGACAGUCUCGUCCCCCCAGAUCCG